rfam:Picea glauca, whole genome shotgun sequence.
AAUGUAAUUCAUACAAUGUUAAUGCAAUGAAUCCCAUGAGAACUCCAAACUUAAGUGCGCUUGGGCUAGAGUAGUUCUGGGAUGGAAGACCUCUUGCAAAGUCCUAGUGUCUUACAUGC